rnacentral:rRNA from 1 species
UACGUAGGGUGCAAGCGUUGUCCGGAAUCAUUGGGCGUAAAGAGCGCGUAGGCGGCCCGGUAAGUCCGCUGUAAAAGUCACAGGCUCAACCUGUGAAUGUCAGUGGAUACUGCCGGGCUAGAGUCCGGAAGAGGCGAGUGGAAUUCCUGGUGUAGCGGUGGAAUGCGCAGAUAUCAGGAGGAACACCAACGGCGAAGGCAGCUCGCUGGGACGGUACUGACGCUGAGGCGCGAAAGCGUGGGGAGCAAACAGG